CGGCGUUCUCAGGGCGGGGCGGAAUUCCCCACCGGCGGUAUGCGGGCGAUGAUCCGUAAGCCCGCGAGCGGCCUCGGACCUGUUCGGGGUGUCAGCAGAUCUGGUGAGAGGCCAGAGCCGACGGUUAAAGUCCGGAUGAAAGAGAACGUGC
rnacentral:ncRNA from 2 species